AGAGCGCCUGCGGCGGGCUGUGGGCAUCCUGAGGAUGGGAUGCUUUCCCACCCUGGAGCAUACGGACACAGUCCGCGACAGAGAGAACAAACACCAAACUUCCAUUGUGACUAGGCCCUCAUGAAGUCUCAUCACCCAGGACUGGGUGUUGGAAGGAAGCUGUUUCUGGUAGAAGCCUCAAAGGUGCAGCUGGAAACAGGAUGAGCCUGACAGGAUAAAUUUAGCCAACUGCAAAGAAGAAAUCAACAAAAUAAUAUAUAUAAGCAAUGGUUAACGGGGAGCUUUGGAUAUGAAUCUCCUGUCUCCUUUCCUUUCAGGAAUUUAAAUAAAAUUACCUUGC